CGAACGGGUGAGUAAUACAUCGGAACGUGUCGAGAAGAGGGGGAUAACACCCGAAAGGGUGGCUAAUACCGCAUAAAUUCUGAGGAAGAAAGCUGGGGACCUAGGAAUAGGCCUAGCGCUUUUUGAGCGGCCGAUGUCGGAUUAGCUAGUUGGUGAGGUAAAGGCUCACCAAGGCGAAGAUCUGUAGCGGGUCUGAGAGGAUGAUCCGCCACACUGGGACUGAGACACGGCCCAG
rnacentral:rRNA from 1 species